rnacentral:tRNA from 1 species
UGGCAUAGUGGUUAAAGAGCUUGGCUGCUAACCAAAAGGUUGGUGGUUCAAAGCCACC